GUGCUUGCCUUGACAGCACAUAUACUAAAACUGGAAUGAUAUAAAGAAGAUUAGCAUGGCCCCUGGGCAAGGAUAACACAUAAACUCAUGACACAUUCCAUAUUAAA
rnacentral:snRNA from 1 species